CCUACGGGAGGCAGCAGUGGGGGAUAUUGCACAAUGGGGGAAACCCUGAUGCAGCAACGCCGCGUGAAGGAUGAAGGUUUUCGGAUUGUAAACUUCUGUUCUUAGUGACGAUAAUGACGGUAGCUAAGAAGAAAGCUCCGGCUAACUACGUGCCAGCAGCCGCGGUAAUACGUAGGGAGCGAGCGUUGUCCGGAUUUACUGGGUGUAAAGGGUGCGUAGGCGGCAGAGCAAGUCAGGCGUGAAAGCCAUGGGCUUAACCCAUGAACUGCGCUUGAAACUGUUUUGCUUGAGUGAAGUAGAGGCAGGCGGAAUUCCCGGUGUAGCGGUGAAAUGCGUAGAGAUCGGGAGGAACACCAGUGGCGAAGGCGGCCUGCUGGGCUUUAACUGACGCUGAGGCACGAAAGCAUGGGUAGCAAACAGGAUU
rnacentral:rRNA from 1 species